GGGGCUUUGGGCGUUGGCCGCGGGCGCCGCGGUGUUCUGGGCGCUGCGGCUGGCCUCGCCGGCCGACGCCGUGGCUGCGGCGGCCACGAUGCCGCGC
rnacentral:tRNA from 2 species